rnacentral:rRNA from 1 species
UACGUAGGUGGCAAGCGUUAUCCGGAUUUAUUGGGCGUAAAGAGAACGCAGGCGGUCUUUUAAGUCUGAUGUGAAAGCCUUCGGCUUAACCGGAGUAGUGCAUUGGAAACUGGGAGACUUGAGUGCAGAAGAGGAGAGUGGAACUCCAUGUGUAGCGGUGAAAUGCGUAGAUAUAUGGAAGAACACCAGUGGCGAAAGCGGCUCUCUGGUCUGUAACUGACACUGAGGCUCGAAAGCGUGGGUAGCAAACAGG